GUUUGGACGAGGGGCCCCUCUCGGGUUACCGAAUUCAGACAAACUCCGAAUGCCAAUUAAUUUAACUUGGGAGUCAGAACAUGGGUGAUAAGGUCCGUGUUCGAAAGGGAAACAGCCCAGACCACCAGCUAAGGUCCCAAAAUAUAUGUUAAGUGGAAAAGGAUGUGGCGUUGCCCAGACAACUAGGAUGUUGGCUUAGAAGCAGCCAUCAUUUAAAGAGUGCGUAAUAGCUCACUAGUCGAGUGACACUGCGCCGAAAAUGUACCGGGGCUAAACAUAUUACCGAAGCUGUGGAUUGUCCUUUGGACAAUGGUAGGAGAGCGUUCUAAGGGCGUUGAAGCAUGAUCGUAAGG
rnacentral:rRNA from 1 species